rnacentral:rRNA from 1 species
AUUGAACGCUGGCGGCAUGCUUUACACAUGCCAGUCGAACGGCAGCGCGGGCUUCGGCCUGGCGGCGAGUGGCGAACGGGUGAGUAAUGCAUCGGAACGUGCCCAGUAGUGGGGGAUAGCCCGGCGAAAGCCGGAUUAAUACCGCAUACGACCUGAGGGUGAAAGCGGGGGACCGAAAGGCCUCGCGCUAUUGGAGCGGCCGAUGUCGGAUUAGCUAGUUGGUGGGGUAAAGGCUUACCAAGGCGACGAUCCGUAGCUGGUCUGAGAGGACGACCAGCCACACUAGGACUGAGACACGGCCCAGACUCCUACGGGAGGCAGCAGUGGGGAAUUUUGGACAAUGGGGGCAACCCUGAUCCAGCCAUGCCGCGUGCGGGAAGAAGGCCUUCGGGUUGUAAACCGCUUUUGUUCGGGAAGAAAUCCUCUGGGCUAAUACCCCGGGGGGAUGACGGUACCGGAAGAAUAAGCACCGGCUAACUACGUG